GUUUCUGGUUGCGGGACAUCACCGUGUUGUUGUGUUUUGUCGAGUGAAAACUGCGGUUCUGGUCCUGCUGGGCUCCAAGUCUGAGCUUCUGCUGCAGCCACAGCAUCUUCUCCAUCCGCAUCCUGAGAGUGGAGGACGGCGAGCCGCCACCAGUCCACGCCGUCAGCGCGUUGUGUCUGUGCGACCUGGCAGGCUCUGAGCGCAGCUCCAGGACCCAGAACAAAGGAGAGGACCUGAAGGAGGCUGGAAACAUCAACGCCUCGCUGCUCAUUCUGGGCAAAUGCAUCAAGGCUCUGCAGCACAACCAGCACACCAGGUGGAGGUUGUGAUCUCCAGGCUCCUCCCCGUCGUUCCUCCUGCUUCCUGCAGCAGGAAGACGCUGCAGAGCAGCAGCAGCUCCCUGACCGGCUGGGAAGCCAGUCUGGAAGACCUUCAGGGUGAAGACCAAGACUCCAGUCUGAUGGAGGACAGCAUGGAGGAGACGGCUGACAAGGUGAAGAAGUCGUCAUUAAUAAGAGGCUUCACCAGGUCAGUGGUUUUAGCUGCUCCACAUUUCUCCUGACAUGAAUCCACCUGCUGGGUUUCCUGCUGGAGGCGGCGCCACGUUUACCUUCAUUCUGACGUCAGAACCGCAGCUUCGUCCCUCCUCCUCUUCAUCAGCUGCUGCUGCAGAUUUCUGCAGGAAACCAAGCAGCUUGUGGUCGGGUCUGCAUGUCCAGGUCCCAGCCUCUGAUAUCGCAUUUACUUAGUUAUAAUAAUAAUAAUAAUAAUAAUAAUAA